AUUGAACGCUGGCGGCAGGCCUAACACAUGCAAGUCGAGCGGAUGAAGGGAGCUUGCUCCUGGAUUCAGCGGCGGACGGGUGAGUAAUGCCUAGGAAUCUGCCUGGUAGUGGGGGAUAACGUCCGGUAACGGGCGCUAAUACCGCAUACGUCCUGAGGGAGAAAGUGGGGGUUCUUCGGACCUCACGCUAUCAGAUGAGCCUAGGUCGGAUUAGCUAGUUGGUGGGGUAAAGGCCUACCAAGGCGACGAUCCGUAACUGGUCUGAGAGGAUGAUCAGUCACACUGGAACUGAGACACGGUCCAGACUCCUACGGGAGGCAGCAGUGGGGAAUAUUGGACAAUGGGCGAAAGCCUGAUCCAGCAAAGCCGCGUGUGUGAAGAAGGUCUUCGGAUUGUAAAGCACUUUAAGUUGGGAGGAAGGGCAGUAAGUUAAUACCUUGCUGUUUUGACGUUACCAACAGAAUAAGCACCGGCUAACUUCGUG
rnacentral:rRNA from 1 species